rnacentral:rRNA from 1 species
CCCCUUAGUUCGGGAUAGCCACUGGAAACGGUGAUUAAUACCGGAUACUCCUUCUUGUUAUAAGACAAGUCGGGAAAGUUUUUCGCUAAGGGAUCAGUCUAUGUUCCAUCAGCUUGUUGGUGAGGUAAUGGCUCACCAAGGCUAUGACGGAUAUCUGGUUUGAGAGGAUGAUCAGACACACUGGAACUGAGACACGGUCCAGACUCCUACGGGAGGCAGCAGUGAGGAAUAUUGCACAAUGGAGGAAACUCUGAUGCAGCAACGCCGCGUGGAGGAUGACGCAUUUCAGUGUGUAAACUCCUUUUAUUAGGGAAGAUAAUGACGGUACCUAAUGAAUAAGCACCGGCUAACUCCGUGCCAGCAGCCGCGGUAAUACGGAGGGUGCAAGCGUUACUCGGAAUCACUGGGCGUAAAGGGUGCGUAGGCUGGCUUUUAAGUCAGAUGUGAAGUCCAAUGGCUCAACCAUUGAACUGCAUUUGAAACUGAAAGCCUAGAGUUCAGAAGGGGCAGAUGGAAUUAGUGGUGUAGGGGUAAAAUCCGUAGAUAUCACUAGGAAUAUCAAAAGCGAAGGCGAUCUGCUGGGAUGAUACUGACGCUG